CAGAAGGCAUCUGGCCGCCCAGCCUCGUGCCGCGGCGGGACCCCGCUCGCAGCUCUCUGGGGGGGAAGCACUGUUUUCUGGACGGUUCUUGAGUUCUGCUCAAACCGCGGAAGCAGGACUCUGGCUGCGGCGUCCUCGUGCCCCUGAGCCCCCGAGCGUGAAGGUGGCAGAGACUCCAAGGACCGUGGGGGCGAUGCUGUGUUCCGCUCCCACGAGGACUCCGAGUUCUGGAGAGCCAGAGUUCCUGGCGUGGAUCAUUACAUAUUUUAUUUUUUAGGGGUUACAAAUACUGCUUGGAGACAACUUGCAAAGCCCAGGCCCAGGAUAAAGGGAACCAUGUCUCCUCUUCCACGUGCCAGGCCGCCGCUCACAGAAGACGGGAAGCGUAGGGGUUCCUUUGUCCAGAUGUGAAUAACCACGUCUGAGGACUGGUUGCUGCACACGGGGUGAGGGUAGAAACGGGGAGGAAGGGAAUCACGUGCAGGCUCUGAUGCCGGGAAGGGCUCCGUUUGACCGGACGUGGGGGCUCCUCUCAGCUGCGUGCUCUGGAAGUGGGCUGGAGACACAAAACAGAAGGAAUUAGCCCGAACAUGUGGGUAAGGGUCCCAGGCCCAGGGUCCCAGCCAGGGGGCAGGUCCUGAGGCAGGAGUGAGGCAUGCGUGCCCAGGGACAACCGUGGCUCUGGGCUGGGGCCUGAGGGCAGCAGGUGCGCCAUGCCGGUCCGUUCGGUCUGGUGGGGACGGGACAGGGAGCCCCCGGGAGGAGCUGCCCCCACGGGACACCUUGCCAUCGGUACUGUUAAGAGGGAACAAGAAGAAACCUGCCAGUUCCUCAAGGGUUAAACACGGAGGUGGCCUGUGACCCUACAGGGGUCGCGGGGGACGUGACAUGGGAGCUGCGUGUGUGCGCGGGUGUGUGAAUGUCUCAAAGUCCGACCUGCGCAGGAAGGAGUUAUGGGCAGGUGAGCAGGUGUCACGGGCGGGAUGGGGGCAUCCCCAGGACACACGUCCACAUGCCAACUUCCAGCACAUGGAGCGGAAGGGACGCGGCCAGCAGCCCGGGGACGCCUGGGGCCCCAGAUGCCGGAAGAGGCUGCCGGGACCCUCCCCGGAGCCUCCGGAGGGAGCGCGGCCCGCCUGGACCUCAGACUCUGCUCGCCAGACUUUGGGGAGCGAAGGCAGCCCAGAGUGGUGAGCGCCGUGUCCAGCACGAGUCCUCAAGCGGCACCUCGGGGCGUCUUGAGACAGACUGGUCAGACCGGCGACCCUGAGCACCACAGCCCGUCGGGGCUGCUGAUCCCCGGGGUUCGAGAGCCGCCCCCCCAGCCGGGCCCAGCCAUCUGCGUGUCCUCGCCAGCAGCCCGCGUGGAAAGAAUGCCCUUGCGGAGGACAGCUGAGUUAAGUCUUGUUUUGGCAGCACAUAACUCGGGUUAUUUUAAGGGCUCUUGUUCAUGCCCCAGAGGUUAUGUACCAGCAGAUUGCAGGAAAUCACAGCCACGCAUGGCAUUAGGGCCGCAUUACUGUCUGGCUCCAGAAUCCGAGCCGUGAGUUGUGAAGAUGGCUGUCAAGUUUCCUAUCUGGAUUUCAACCCCACACCUGCACCGUGAGGUGAAUUACUCCUGCAGUGGACCCUCCCCAGUGGAUCUGUGGACAGGUGGGGUCUGUGGACAGCUGCAGUGGAGUCUGUGGACAGGUGGGCUCUGUGGACAGAACCUGAAAGCUGUUGCUCCACGGCCUUCUCACCCGUGUGGUGUCUGGUGCAAAAUCCUGGUGGCUCAACGGUUGAGGAUCUGCCUUCAGCUCAGGUCGUGAGCACCACCCCAGCUCCUGUUGCAAUGCACCCCCCCCGGGGGAGGGGGACCUCGUUUUGCCCGCUGCUGGGGCCCCAGCCCCUAAGACAGUGCCUGGCACAGAGGAGCUUUCCACUACAUAUGGGUGGCAUCAGAGCCACGGGGCUGGGGCACGGGCCGCUUUCACUGCUGAGAUCCUGUGCUCCCGAAUCCCUCCUUGCCGUCCAGGCCAGCGGCAGUAAUUUGGAGUAGAGGCGACUUGGAAGAAGGGAUGUUCAUUCACACGUUCACACGAGGUGCUGUCCCAACCAUCUCCCCACCCGUGGACGUCACGAAAUCCUUUUACAUCGUAUAGUUUUCAGCAUUCUGGAACAUUCUUUUUUUUAAUUAAUUUAUUAAUUAUAAAUAUUUUAUUUGUUCAUGAGAGAGAGAGAGAGAGAGAGGCAGAGACACAGGCAGAGGGAGAAGCAGGCUCCAUGCAGGGAGUCUGACUUGGGACUCGAGCAUUCUGGAACAUUCUGAAGACGUGGGGCUGCCGGGACCGAGGGCCCUGCCGUCUCCAGGGUGAGUGAGGGGUGAGCCGUGUCCACACCGCUCCAUCCUCCUAGCUGGGAAAACCUCAGCUCAGAGUGUUGUUGCUCAGCACUGCCGCCUGCCCGCGCCCCGUCUCAGGAAUAAAGUAUUUGUGUGUGUGUGUAGCUGUGUGUGCUGGUCUGUGAUUGCGUGUCUCUGUGCGAAUGUCCUUGCCGCCUCGUCCCCCGUGGAGAGAGCGCGUCUCUGAGGCGGACUUGAGUCGUCCCAGCCCCGCACGUCGGCUCCGGAGGCAGGAGGUUUGUGCGGAAUGCUGACUGUUCCCCCAAGAAGAAUGACCCCAGAUCCGCGGCAGCUGUUUCAUUACAGCUCGGAGCGACGCAGACUUAUUUAAUAAAUAGAAGAAUUUUUUAAUCAAGUCAUGAGACAGGAUGUAUAAACUUUAUUAUUGAUUACACGUUUGUAAAAGCUUUCUCAAUAAAGCAGGCUUGCUCCCCUCUGUCAGGUUUCUAUUAGGCAAUUUAAUCUGUGUAACUCUUACUUUAUACGGUUCUUUCUGUUUUAUUACUUCGUAUUACACUACAUCUUUGUGGCCACAAAUUGAAUAGCAUAAUUGUUUUUUCUUCUUGGGACCCCCCCCCCAAAAAAAAAGCCUACAAAAAACCCUGUGCUUUUUGUUCCAGGAGGUAAUAAUUUUAGACAAAACGUAACCAUUUUAAUGGGUAAAAGUUCUACCAAAAAAUAAUAAAAAAAAAUGAAAAACGC